GGUUUCAAAUUUUAUUAUUUAAGGUAAAAAAAUCAAUACUUUAUCCGAGCUAUAAAAAGUUUUUUUUUUAAAAAGCUCAAUAUUCCCACCAAGAGCGUUUGCGUUUUGUUUUAUGUAUUGUAUUUUUUGAAAUUGAACCUAAUGUCUCAGGGCAAUACUUAAAGAACUUGUGCCAAGAAACUUUGUUUCUUGGGGUUAGAUACUCAUAAUUGAAUUGAGAAUUAUAUUUCUCCAUGAAAACAAGAAAAAGCAUUGGUUCAAGAGUACGUUACUCAAUGUAAAAUAUGAUAUUAUUUAUAUCUAGAGUAGAAAUUUCUUAGCGCAAAGUUUAGUAUGUUUUGAAUAAAGAAUUAAUUUUCUUAAACCA